AGCCUGUGAUGUUUGAGAUUGUCCGUACCAUCUGAGAUUAUUAUAUUCUCCUUGACGAUUACCUCCACUUUCUGAGGCUU